AAAAGGUGGCUAUGCUACCGCUUUUGGAUGGGCCCGCGGCGCAUUAGCUAGUUGGUGGGGUAAAGGCUUACCAAGGCAAUGAUGCGUAGCCGAACUGAGAGGUUGAUCGGCCACAUUGGGACUGAGACACGACCCAAACUCCUACGGGAGGCAGCAGUAGGGAAUCUUCCACAAUGGGCGAAAGCCUGAUGGAGCAACGCCGCGUGGGUGAAGAAGGUCUUCGGAUCGUAAAACCCUGUUGUUAGAGAAGAAAGUGCGUGAGAGUAACUGUUCACGUUUCGACGGUAUCUAACCAGAAAGCCACGGCUAACUACGUGCCAGCAGCCGCGGUAAUACGUAGGUGGCAAGCGUUAUCCGGAUUUAUUGGGCGUAAAGGGAACGCAGGCGGUCUUUUAAGUCUGAUGUGAAAGCCUUCGGCCUAACCGGAGUAGUGCAUUGGAAACUGGGAGACUUGAGUGCAGAAGAGGAGAGUGGAACUCCAUGUGUAGCGGUGAAAUGCGUAGAUAUAUGGAAGAACACCAGUGGCGAAAGCGGCUCUCUGGUCUGUAACUGACGCUGAGGUUCGAAAGCGUGGGUAGCAAACAGGAUUAGAUACCCUGGUAGUCCACGCCGUAAACGAUGAAUGCUAAGUGUUGGAGGGUUUCCGCCCUUCA
rnacentral:rRNA from 1 species